rnacentral:rRNA from 1 species
UGACGAGCGGCGGACGGGUGAGUAAUGUAUNGGNAUCUGCCCGAUNGAGGGGGAUAACUNCNGGAAACGGUAGCUAAUACCGCAUAAUGUCUNCGGANCAAAGCAGGGGACCUUCGGNCCUNGCGCNAUNNGAUGAACCCAUAUGGGAUUAGCUAGUAGGUGAGGUAANGGCUCACCUAGGCGACGAUCCCUAGCUGGUCUGAGAGGAUGAUCAGCCACACUGGNACUGAGACACGGCCCAGACUCCUACGGGAGGCAGCAGUGGGGAAUAUUGCACAAUGGGCGCAAGCCUGAUGCAGCCAUGCCGCGUGUAUGAAGAAGGCCUUNGGGUUGUAAAGUACUUUCAGUNGGGAGGAAGGNG